UCCCUAGUACGGCGAGUGAAGAGGGAAGAGCCCAAGAUUGAAAGCUGGCGUCUUCGGCGUCCGCAUUGUAAUCUCAAGAAGUGUUUUCCGCUUCGGACCAUGCCUAAGUCCCUUGGAAAAGGGCAUCAUAGAGGGUGAUAAUCCCGUUCAUGGCAUGGAGCGCCCGAAGCUUUGUGAUACGCUUUCUAAGAGUCGAGUUGUUUGGGAAUGCAGCUCAAAAUGGGUGGUAAAUGCCAUCUAAGGCUAAAUAUUGGGGAGAGACCGAUAGCGAACAAGUACAGUGAUGGAAAGAUGAAAAGAACUUUGAAAAGAGAGUUAAACAGUACGUGAAAUUGCCAAAAGGGAAGGGUAGGAGGUCAGAGAUGCGUCUUGGAAUUCAGCCUUGCUUCUGCUUGGUGUUUUUUCCAAGUUGCAGGCCAACGUCGGUUUU
rnacentral:rRNA from 1 species